rnacentral:rRNA from 1 species
UACGUAGGGUGCGAGCGUUGUCCGGAAUUACUGGGCGUAAAGGGCUCGUAGGCGGUCUGUCGCGUCGGGAGUGAAAACUUACAGCUUAACUGUGAGCGUGCUUCCGAUACGGGGCAGACUUGAGGUAUUCAGGGGAGAACGGAAUUCCUGGUGUAGCGGUGAAAUGACGCAGAUAUCAGGAGGAACACCGGUGGCGAAGGCGGUUCUCUGG